rnacentral:rRNA from 1 species
GCGGAGGACCGCAUUUCUUUCCUAGUAGGACGUCGCGACCCGCUGAUUCAUAAUCUAAAAGCUAAUAAAAAGUCUAUUGAAAACUAAUUUUUAUUAGUUGAUAUAGGUUAUUGGUUAUUGAUUAAUUAAUCGGCGGUAUAAAACGACAGUGGUGAGCCGCUUUUUAAAGCGUUUUUGAGCGAGUGCAAGUUUUUGAAAUUUUGUAACAUGUGGGACAAAAGUGCUGCAUUGUUCAAUUUCAUAACUGUUGGCAUUUUUGUCUCUUGAACUGUGUUCACAACACUGGUCGGCGGCGCUUCAGUUUCGAAAACUUUUCCGACCCGAGGAGUCUAACAUGUGCGCAAGUCAUUGGGUUUUUUAAACCUAAAGGCGAAACGAAAGUAAAGAAAGCUUUGCUUUUUUAGGGAGGAUAGUUGUUGGUUUUUCACCACAGCUCGCACUCCCGGGGCGUCUGUUGCUCAUUACGAGUAAAGGCGCACCUAGAGCGUACACGUUGGGACCCGAAAGAUGGUGAACUAUGCCUGGCCAGGACGAAGCCAGGGGAAACCCUGGUGGAGGUCCGUAGCGAUUCUGACGUGCAAAUCGAUCGUCGGAGCUGGGUAUAGGGGCGAAAGACUAAUCGAACCAUCUAGUAGCUGGUUCCCUCCGAAGUUUCCCUCAGGAUAGCUGGUGCUUAUGAUGAGACGAGUCUCAUCCGGUAAAGCGAAUGAUUAGAGGCCUUGGGGCCGAAACGACCUCAACCUAUUCUCAAACUUUAAAUGGAUGAGAGCUCUGGCUUG